rnacentral:rRNA from 1 species
GCUACGGGAGGCAGCAGUGAGGAAUAUUGGUCAAUGGCCGCAGGGCUGAACCAGCCAAGUCGCGUGAGGGAUGACGGUCCUAUGGACUGUAAACCUCUUUUGUCAGGGAGCAAAGGGCGCCACGUGUGGCGUUUUGCGAGUACCUGAAGAAAAAGCAUCGGCUAACUCCGUGCCAGCAGCCGCGGUAAUAAGGAGGAUUCGAGCGGUAACCGGAUUUAUUGGGUUUAAAGGGUGCGCAGGCGGAAUGUCAAGUCAGCGGUAAAAUUUCGGGGCUCAACCCCGUCGUGACGUUGAAACUGGCUUUCUUGAGUGAGCGAGAAGUAUGCGGAAUGCGUGGUGUAGCGGUGAAAUGCAUAGAUAUCACGCAGAACUCCGAUUGCGAAGGCAGCUUACUGGACUGUAACUGACGUUGAGGCUCGAAAGCGUGGGGAGCAAACAGGAUUAGAUACCCCUGUAGUC